UCUGACACAGGUGCUGCAUGGCUGUCGUCAGCUCGUGUCGUGAGAUGUUGGGUUAAGUCCGUAACGAGCGCAACCCUUGUCCUUAGUUACCAGCACGUUAUGGUGGGCACUCUAAGGAGACUGCCGGUGACAAACCGGAGGAAGGUGGGGAGUGACGUCAAGUCAUCAUGGCCCUUACGGCCUGGGCUACACACGUGCUACAAUGGUCGGUACAAAGGGUUGCCAAGCCGCGAGGUGGAGCUAAUCCCAUAAAACCGAAUCGUAGUCCGGAUCGCAGUCUGCAACUCGACUGCGUGAAGUCGGAAUCGCUAGUAAUCGUGAAUCAGAAUGUCACGGUGAAUACGUUCCCGGGCCUU
rnacentral:rRNA from 1 species